UGCAAAUGGAAUGCCACUCCAUUUCACAAAAGGACUAGUUUCAUGAAAUCCAAGUUGUAUGCCAAGUGAAAGCACACAAAAAAAAAUCAAAAUUGUUGCUAUAAUGCCUCCAGCUGAAAGGUAUGAGAGGAUGCGAAUAUCUUUUAACCAAACAGUUGGCAAAACAAUAAUGCUAGUUAGAAUUCCAAAAAAGUGCAUAGAGUCAAGAUAAAAGACUCCCAAGUCCAAAGAUGUUCCAGGAAAUAGGCUACUAAGAUUGUCACCCUCUAAAAUAAUAACUUCCACACAAUAUGAAUAUAACUCCAUAUAUAGAAUAAUAGAUAUAAUAAGACGUCCAUAUAUCCCGAAAGCAGCUUCUCCCAUGUCUGGUGAGGUUAUGAUGCUUUCGUUGCUCUCAAAGCAAUGCCUCAUUAGAUUGGCUGUGUAACAGCACAAAAUUGCAAAAACAGCCAAUACUACCAAACUUGCCCAACCAGCUUCUUUCACAGUAUAAGGUAUAGAAAGCAGAGCAAUUCCCAGGAAUACAUUAACCACUGAUAUAUUGAGUAAAUUUAUAUUGUUUACUAUUUUUAAAAUAUAUAUGAAGUCAAGAGAAGCUCAAAGAUCUCAAAAAUGGUAUUAUGGCUUACAAUUGAAGAUAGUUUCUGUGAAGCUACAUCCAUGAGGAAUGGGUGAUUCAUUAUCAGAAAAAGAAGCUUUUGAGAAUAGUUGUAUGGUUGAGAACUUGUUCAAGUCUUCCUCCUUUUCAUAAUUUGACAACAAAGGGGACUUUAUAUCCUGGUUUAACUUACUCUUGCUUAGUCCAAGAAACUUCAAACACUGCAACCAAUGCUUAGAAGAGAAAAUGCCACAUAGUACACCAUUCACAGCCUCUACUUUGGUGGUGCUACUGAUUGUGCCACCAUUGCAAUUGUGGCUACCAACCUCAAACAUGUUCACUUCUAGUAUCUCUUCAUCAUCCUCCAAGAAGAAAUCUACUAUUUCUUUCUCCUUAUCCUUUUUUUCCAUUGAUGACAUAGCUGGGAAAAAUUCAAGAAAAUUGGUUGUGAAAUUG
rnacentral:misc_RNA from 1 species